rnacentral:lncRNA from 1 species
UCAGGGUUCCUUCACUUACAGAAAAAAGACCCAGAAUUAGUCACUGGCAUCCUAGAGCAAGCUCAUGCUGGCUUUAGAUGGCUGACUUGGAGACAUUCGGCAGUUUUGUGAGCUGGUUUACUCGCACUUGACUGGCUGGAGCCCUUAAAUUGUUCCUGAAGGAUGAGGAUGUGCAAUACUAUAGCAACCCCCCACAGCCUUGGAAGCAGACAAACCUAGUUCGUGUUGACAAUAAGACAGAAGAGGAUGGACCCAUGAAUACUUUUGCAACUAACUCUGCUUCCAGCUGCCCCGAGAGAAUGCUGAGGUUUGCAAGGUGUCAAGGGAGACAAUAAAAUGACUUUCAGAUUGAUGGACAUAUUUUCCUUCCUGUUACAAAACUGCCUAUUAACCAGGCUUUGUCGUCAUAAUGUCCUCCUGGCAUUUCACGUCCCAUUCGAAUGUUAAUGACCA